UUUAUCGGAGAGUUUGAUCCUGGCUCAGGACGAACGCUGGCGGCGUGCCUAAUACAUGCAAGUCGAGCGGAUUGAUGGGAGCUUGCUCCCAUCAGUCAGCGGCGGACGGGUGAGUAACACGUGGGUAACCUGCCUGUAAGACUGGGAUAACUCCGGGAAACCGGGGCUAAUACCGGAUAACUCAUUUCCUCGCAUGAGGAAAUGUUGAAAGGUGGCUUUUAGCUAUCACUUACAGAUGGACCCGCGGCGCAUUAGCUA
rnacentral:rRNA from 1 species